GUGUUCCCUAGAGUUUCCUUGACCGCUUCAUUAGGGGUUUACAUUGUUGUUUGAAAAGCCUUGUUGAAGUGUUUGGGGGAACUCCCGGGCUCAC
rnacentral:pre_miRNA from 1 species